rnacentral:rRNA from 1 species
AUACGUAGGGGGCGAGCGUUGUCCGGAUUUACUGGGCGUAAAGGGUGAGUAGGCGGUUAUAUGUGUCAGAUGUAAAAGGCUAUGGCUUAACCAUAGUUAGCAUUUGAAACUGUAUGACUUGAGUGUAGGAGAGGUAAGUGGAAUUCCUAGUGUAGCGGUGAAAUGCGUAGAUAUUAGGAGGAACACCAGUGGCGAAGGCGACUUACUGGACUGUAACUGACGCUGAGUCACGAAAGCGUGGGUAGCAAACAGGAUUAGAUACCCUGGUAGUCCACGCUGUAAACGAUGAGUGCUAGGUGUUGGCCAGCGAUGGUCAGUGCCGCAGUAAACACAUUAAGCACUCCGCCUGGGGAGUACGGUCGCAAGACUGAAACUCAAAGGAAUUGGCGGGG